rnacentral:rRNA from 1 species
UGCGUUUAGUCCAAAACGGUCGCUAUGCUUCAGGGAGUUGAAAAUAAGCAUAGAUUCGGAGAUUCUCGAAUAGGGCAACCUUUCGAACUGUUGCUGAAUCCAUGGGCAGGCAAGAGACAACCUGGCGAACUGAAACAUCUUAGUAGCCAGAGGAAAAGAAAGCAAAAGCGAUUCCCGUAGUAGCGACGAGCGAAAUGGGAGCAGCCUAAACCGUGAAAAUGGGGUUGUGGGAGAGCAAUACAAGCGUCGUACUGGCCCAUCAGAUCUAAACAAUCUUGUUUUUUUGAACAUGAAGAGAUAAAGAAGCCAUUGCAAUUGCCGAAAAUACAAGGCCUACUAAAGGCA